GACGAACGCUGGCGGCGUGCUUAACACAUGCAAGUCGAGCGGAGCGGCGAACGGGUGCGUAACGCGUGAGUAACUGCCCCCCUCUCUGGGAUAACAGUUGGACACGGCUGCUAAUCCCGGAUAUUGGGGGAUGACUCGCGUCCUAUCAUGUUGUUGGUGGGGUAGUGGCCUACCAAGGCGACGACGGGUAGCCGGCCUGCGAGGGGGACCGGCCACAUUGGGCUGAGAGACGGCCCAAACGCGUACGGGAGGCAGCAGUGGGGAAUAUGGCACAAUGGGGGAAACCGUGAUGCAGCAACGCCGCGUGCGGGAUGACGGCCUUCGGGGUGUAAACCGCUUUCAGCCAAGACGCGGUAGUGGCAGAAGAAGCACCGGCUAACUACGUGCCAGCAGCCGCGGUAAUUC
rnacentral:rRNA from 1 species